AACGAACGCUGGCGGCAUGCCUAACACAUGCAAGUCGAACGAAGUCUUCGGACUUAGUGGCGCACGGGUGCGUAACGCGUGGGAAUCUGCCCUUGGGUGCGGAAUAACUUCUCGAAAGGGAUGCUAAUACCGCAUAAUGUCGUAAGACCAAAGAUUUAUCGCCCAAGGAUGAGCCCGCGUAAGAUUAGCUAGUUGGUGGGUAAAAGCCUACCAAGGCGACGAUCUUUAGCUGGUCUGAGAGGAUGAUCAGCCACACUGGGACUGAGACACGGCCCAGACUCCUACGGGAGGCAGCAGUAGGGAAUAUUGGACAAUGGGCGAAAGCCUGAUCCAGCAAUGCCGCGUGAGUGAUGAAGGCCCUAGGGUUGUAAAGCUCUUUUACCAGGGAUGAUAAUGACAGUACCUGGAGAAUAAGCUCCGGCUAACUCCGUGCCAGCAGCCGCGGUAAU
rnacentral:rRNA from 1 species